rfam:Xenopus laevis strain J chromosome 4S, whole genome shotgun sequence.
UCUUCUGUUGAUGAUAACCUUGUCCAGUUCUGCUACUGAAACUAUGCGAUGAUAUUUCUCAAUCUGAAAAAGA